AAUGAACGUUGGCGGCGUGGAUUAGGCAUGCAAGUCGUACGUGUACCCGCAAGGGGAAAGUGGCGAAAGGGAGAGGAAUACGUGGGUACCAACCUUCUGGUCGGGGAUAGCGGUGGGAAACUGCCAUUAAUACCCGAUAACGUCUGCGGACCAAAGGUGUGAUUCCGCCGGAAGACGGGCCCGCGUCCUAUUAGCUAGUUGGUGGGGUAAUGGCCUACCAAGGCGACGAUCAGUAGCGGGUCUGAGAGGAUGAUCCGCCACACUGGGACUGAGACACGGCCCAGACUCCUACGGGAGGCAG
rnacentral:rRNA from 1 species